rnacentral:rRNA from 1 species
GAUGAACGCUGGCGGCGUGCCUAAUACAUGCAAGUCGAGCGAACAGACGAGGAGCUUGCUCCUCUGACGUUAGCGGCGGACGGGUGGGUAACACGUGGAUAACCUACCUAUAAGACUGGGAUAACUUCGGGAAACCGGAGCUAAUACCGGAUAAUAUAUUUAACCGCAUGGUUCAAUAGUGAAAGACGGUUUUGCUGUCACUUAUAGAUGGAUCCGCGCCGCAUUAGCUAGUUGGUAAGGUAACGGCUUACCAAGGCAACGAUGCGUAGCCGACCUGAGAGGGUGAUCGGCCACACGGGAACUGAGACACGGUCAAGACUCCUACGGGAGGCAGCAGUAGGGAAUCUUCCGCAAUGGGCGAAAGCCUGACGGAGCAACGCCGCGUGAGUGAUGAAGGUCUUCGGAUCGUAAAACUCGGUUAUUAGGGAAGAACAAAUGUGUAAGUAACUAUGCACGUCUUGACGGUACCUAAUCAGAAAGCCACGGCUAACUACGUG